UCCCCGAGCCCCGAGUGGUAGCCGCGUUUAUUGGGUCUAAAGCAUCCGUAGCCCGAUUAGUAAGUUCUCGGUGAAAUUGUCCAGCUUAACUGAACGAAUUGCCUUGAAUACUGCUAAUCUAGGGAUCGGGUUAAGCUAGGAGUAUGCCUAGGGGAGGGGUAAAAUCCAUUAAUCCUGGGUAGACUAUCAGUGGCGAAGGCGCCUAGCUGGAACGAGUCCGACGGUAAGGGAUGAGAGUUAGGGGA
rnacentral:rRNA from 1 species